rfam:Triticum aestivum genome assembly, contig: Triticum_aestivum_CS42_TGACv1_scaffold_131238_2BL
UAUAUACUCCCUCCGUCCCAAAAUUCUUGUCUUAAAUUAGUCUAGAUACGGAUAUAUCUAAUACUAAAACGUGACUUGAUAGUUGAUACAUCCGUAUUUAGACAAAUCUAAGACAAGAAUUUUGGGACGGAGGGAGUAUGUC